UUCCUUUGUCUUCUUGUCACAAAAAGAAUUUCGUCAGUCUGGAAGGGGAGUUUUACUUACGUAAAUGGAUGUAGACCAGACUCAAGCAUGUAAGAACUGUGUUAAUGUGGAUUUCUAAGCCUCUGAAUGAAUUUCUAAGGCACCUAACCUAUUGUUUCUGAAAAUAUUUACUUUAAGGUUACAAUCUUAAUCUAAAAGUGGUUCCUGCUUCAUAAUGCCUGUGGACAUGAAGCUAACAAAUCUUUUCAAAAUGUGUUCAUGUGGUAAUUCACUGCAGCACAGGAGCAAUAAUCAGCUAUGUGCAGGCAUCUAUGCUACUGUCUCUUAAAAUACUUUAAAAGUAAGGUUAGUUAUUGUCUAUUCGAGUCAGUUAGCUCUUACAAUUCAUUUGAUAGUGAUUAUCAGUACAAUAUAUUAGUUUGUUGGAGUGUGAGAAUAAUGGUGUUAAUCCUUAGAAAAAUGCAAGACCAAAGGGAAAUUUAAAUUUUGCAUAUUUAUGUUUAAUGUCAAAUUUAUAUUCAAAUAAACGGUUAUGAUUAUAACUCUUUGUAAAAGAAACUCCAUUUUAAGCCCCCCAGAUUAUGAUCACUUUCAAAUACAGGCUCAGAAGUACAGAUUUAGAGAAAAAGGAUUCCUCUUAGAGGAAUACAUCAUAUAUACUGAGACUUCUAGCGAGGGAAGGAGUGUAGUUCUGGUUCAACUAAGAUAAAGUACUGAUGAAAGGUCACUGGCAGACAAUACGGAGAAACAGCCUGCCUUGCAGGAUUUUUUGUAUGCCUAGUCAGCCUACCCAAGGACAAUGUGUCCAGAAUGACCUCUUUACUGCCUGCCAGCUAAUCAGUUAUCCCAUAAGAAAUAUGCAAACAAGAUUCACACAGCAGAGAGCAAUUAUUUUUCUCUCCCUCUUUCCUCUUUGUCUUAAUAAACGCUCUUUUUUUAUUUGUGGGGUGAAAUCAAUCUAUUGAGGUAUCGUCUUUGUAAACACAUAAACAGCGUGCUAUAAUUGACUUUGUGACUUUGAAUUAUUGACACUGCUCUGUUUCUUUUCCAAAGAACCUUUGCACUGUUGAAAGAGUAACUUUUCCAUUAUAACCUGAGUCAAGAUGAAGAGAAGCAGGGAAUACUGAAUGAAAGUUACUUUUCCAUGCAGCAGGAAAAAACAAGUUUGCUACUAUACAAAUUUAUAGAAAAGUAUAAAAUUACAUGUGAACUUCUUUUUCUUUUUGUGUGUGCCAAAGUUUUUUAAAGAUUUAUAUCUCUACUACUCAAAGCAUUCCCAUCUCUAGCCUGUAUUAGUUCUGUCACCUGAAUCAUUUUUCACUCAUAACCACCUGGCCAUUCUUUAACACUCAGUUCAUGUAGAUUGUACUAGGCAGUUUAAAUACAUUAGAUUUUAUAAACAAAGACCCAGUGAGCACAGAGCAGUUAACAUGCCCAUGGUCACAUAUGUAUUAAUUGGCAGAUUGCCUCCUCCCACCUUAUUACUUUACCUCCUUCCUUAAUUACUUGCCAUUUUGACAGUCUUCUGAUUUCUGUAUAGCCCUUAUGACUUUUACUAUCCAACUUAGUACAGUUACGUUUCACUGAAUGACAGGGAUUUUGUCAUUAUGGAAACAUCAUACAGUACAUCUAUCAAACCUAGCUGCAAUAGCCUACUAUACACCUAAGCUAAAUAGUAUAUCAUAUUGCUCCUAGGCUACAAACCUGAACAGCAUGUUGCUGUACUGAAUACUGUAGGCACUUGUAACAUAAUGGUAAGCAUUUUUGUAUCUAAACAUAAGAAUGAUACAGUAAAAAUAGAGUAUUACAAUUGUAUGGUCCCACACUUGUAUAUGCAGUUCAUCUUUGACCAAAAUGUUAUGCAGCAAAUGACCGUACUUAUUUAUCCUCUACUUUUUAACUUUAUUGGUUGUUUCAUUAAGGUCAGUUUUAUCCCAGCUAGAUAAUGACUGCAUAGCAGCUUCUGUAGCAUCUACGACAGUAUAGUCCAGUUACUAUCUCAUAGAAUGUUUUAAUGAAUCUUGAUUAUUUAAGUGAAAAUUUAAAUUUAAAUAAAAAUUUUAAAAAAUUUUACCAAAAUG
rnacentral:lncRNA from 1 species